rnacentral:rRNA from 1 species
GACGAACGCUGGCGGCGUGGAUUAGGCAUGCAAGUCGAACGGUAUCAUCCUUUCGGGGGUGAGAGAGUGGCGAACUGGUGAGUAACACGUAGGUUAUCUACCCUCAAGACGGGGACAACCCAGGGAAACUUGGGCUAAUACCGGAUGUGAGCAACUUUUAGUUGUUUGAAAGGUGGCGUAAGCUGUCGCUUGGGGAUGAGCCUGCGUCCUAUUAGUUAGUUGGUGAGGUAACGGCUCACCUAGGCAAUGAUAGGUAGGCGGCCUUAACGGGUGGUCGCCCACACUGGGAUUGAGAUACGGCCCAGACUCCUACGGGAGGCAGCAGUCGAGAAUAGUCUACAAUGGUCGGAAGACUGAUAGUGCGGCGCCGCGUGAACGAUGAAUCCCUUCGGGGUGUAAAAGUUCUUUUAUAUGUGAGCAGUGCUUCUUAUAUUAACAGUAUGGGGAGAGAGAUAUUAGCAUAUGAAUAAGCAAACGGCUAAACUCCGUGCCAGCAGCCGCGGUAAA